rnacentral:rRNA from 1 species
UAAUACGUAGGGGGCAAGCGUUGUCCGGAAUUAUUGGGCGUAAAGCGCGCGCAGGCGGCUGUUUAAGUCUGGUGUAUAAUCCUGGGGCUCAACUCCGGGUCGCACUGGAAACUGGACGGCUUGAGUGCAGAAGAGGAGAGUGGAAUUCCACGUGUAGCGGUGAAAUGCGUAGAGAUGUGGAGGAACACCAGUGGCGAAGGCGACUCUCUGGGCUGUAACUGACGCUGAGGCGCGAAAGCGUGGGGAGCAAACAGGAUUAGAUACCCUGGUAGUCCACGCCGUAAACGAUGAGUGCUAGGUGUUAGGGGUUUCGAUACCCUUGGUGCCGAAGUAAACACAUUAAGCACUCCGCCUGGGGAGUACGGCCGCAAGGCUGAA